UACAGAGGCCUCGAGCGUUAGGCGGAAUCACUGGGCUUAAAGCGUGUGUAGGCGGAUGCCUAAGUGCUUUGUGAAAUCCCACGGCUUAACCGUGGAAUUGCUUGGCAUACUGGGUGUCUUGAGCCAUCUAGGGGCGAGCGGAACAGACGGUGGAGCGGUGAAAUGCGUAGAUAUCGUCUGGAACGCCAACGGUGAAAACAGCUCGCUGGGGAUGUGCUGACGCUGAGACACGAAAGCCAGGGGAGCAAACGGG
rnacentral:rRNA from 1 species